rnacentral:rRNA from 1 species
AGAGUGAACGCUGGCGGCAGGCCUAACACAUGCAAGUCGAACGGCAGCACAGAGGAGCUUGCUCCUUGGGUGGCGAGUGGCGGACGGGUGAGGAAUACAUCGGAAUCUGCCUUAUCGUGGGGGAUAACGUAGGGAAACUUACGCUAAUACCGCAUACGACCUACGGGUGAAAGCGGAGGACCUUCGGGCUUCGCGCGAUAAGAUGAGCCGAUGUCGGAUUAGCUAGUUGGCGGGUAAAGCCCACCAAGGCUACGAUCCGUAGCUGGUCUGAGAGGAUGAUCAGCCACACUGGAACUGAGACACGGUCCAGACUCCGUACGGGAGCAG